UACGUAGGGUGCGAGCGUUAAUCGGAAUUACCGGGCGUAAAGCGUGCGCAGGCGGUUUUGUAAGCCAGAUGUGAAAGCCCCGGGCUCAACCUGGGAAUGGCAUUUGGGACUGCAAGGCUUGAGUGCGGCAGAGGAGACUGGAAUUCCUGGUGUAGCAGUGAAAUGCGUAGAUAUCAGGAGGAAUACCGAUGGCGAAGGCAGGUCUCUGGGCUGACACUGACGCUCAUGCACGAAAGCGUGGGGAGCAAACAGG
rnacentral:rRNA from 1 species